UUUCACAAGUCUGCAUAUAUUCUUGUUUAGUCUUACUUUACUUUUUAAAAAGAUGCAUUCUCUUUCUUUCAAGUUCAAAGGCAUCUUUUGAGAAAAUACUUUGUAUUUUCCUUGAACUUGGCAUGUACACACCUACAUAUAUUUCUUCAAGGAAUCUCUAGCAUAUCCAACUUAGGUUUUGAGUCAUUGUUCUUAUAAGUGAAAACUUGUUCUCAUGGCAGCACCGGGCUCUGAGCUCCCUGAGGCAGGAGUCAUGUCAUGUUUAUGCCCUAGGAAGCUGGCCUAUGGUAGGUAAUCAAUAAUUAUUGAAUAAGAUGCAAAAGAUCAGGUAGUACAGGAGUCCUGAUAGUCCCCAACUCUGACCCCCGAGUCCCUUCAGUUUCUUUCUACUUGACAGUUUGUAACACUGGGCACAAAAGGGAGACAGAGAGAACAAACCACUUCUGCUGUGACCAGGUUACAUGAUCUGCAGGAAUCCAGCCUCCGAUCAGGAACCAUUGCACAAGGGCUAGCAAGUAGUCAAGGACAAAAACCAGGUAACUUCAUCAGUUAAGUAAACAGCGGCUAGCACAAUGGUUGUGCUAAACAGGACAAGCUCAAAGUGCAGUGUCAUGGCCAAAUGUCUGCUUUCAAUGGAAUGGACAUAGGUGCCUCUUCGAGACCUGCCUUGCAGGAAUGAUUACAAUAUUUAUCAAGUAAAUGACAGCUUAUGUACUUUGUCAUGUGCUUUUUUUUUCAAUCUUACAAUAACUCUGUGGUAGAGGUAAUGUUAUUCUCUUUUCAUAGAUAAGGAGACUGAACCAAGCAGUUAAGCAAUUUACUCUUGGUUACAAAGUUAAGUGACAGAAUUGCAGCUCAAACCUAGGUCUGUAUGGCUGACUCCAAAUCCCAUGAACUCAUGGCGUGACAUAUUUUAAAAGAGAAAAAAAAUCUGUGAAAUGUCAGGAUUAUUCUGAUUAAAUUCAGGACUCAAAAAAAAAAAAAAGGUGGGGGAUACUGGCAUCUUCUACGUUAUUAUUUUCUGGAUGAUAAUAAUACAACUGAACAGAAGAUCUGUAAGGUUAAGUAACUUGCCUAGGGCUGCUCAGCUAAUAAGUGGAACCAGCAGGAUUGGGAACUAAAGUCUCUUCGACUCCAUAACCUAUGCACUUCUCACUCUACUGAGGAUCCUGAAUAGCUUUCUUCUCUAGAGUCAACACUCAUCAGUGGGCAGUGGCUGCCUGGAGUUCUGUGCUGAAAUAGAUCAGGAGCCACUGCAGAGCUCCAUGGGAAAGAAGCCUGGGAUAAAUUAGCCAUGCUGCUUGUUCGCCAUCCCUGUGCUAGACUGCUCCCAAAACCCACUGCCCUUUGACCCCUGGGGAUGCAUCAGUACUUAAUUAUCACAAGCCUUGUUAUGCUUCUCAAUAUGCAAGGCACACACAUGAAUACCACAUUCUACUAAGCCUUCUUUAUAUUUGCAUGCUCUAAAGACACCAUAUCUAUUCUAUUAGCAAGCAGCAGGUUUGGACGUUGGUAAUAUUUCUACUUAGGCUCUAAUUCCAAGUAAGGAGACAUCUAAAUGGCUAAAGCAGACAUGGACUACAAUUAUUCUUAGCAUAAUUUCACUUCACUUAAAACCACUUAUUAAAUGGCUCACUAUUUUGUGAAAGUGGGAGUAUACCAGGACAGAAAAAAGGGAACUAGAUUGAAAUUAGAAUUAUCAGGCCCACGUUCCAACUUGACCCCCCCACCGGUUCUACACCUCUGGGCUAAUCACUCAAAGGCAUGGGUUUUGGGGUCAGACCUUAAUUUGAUUUCUGGCCCUGACAUUUACAAGUGCUGCAAUUACCUUAUGCAAUUUUCUGUAUUUCCUAAAACUUCAGUUUUCUCAUAUUUAAUGUGUGAAUAAUAAUGACUUCCUCAUUGGGUUGUUAUGAAAUUUAUGGAGAUGUUGCAUGCUACCUGCUGAGCAUGGUUCUGAUAACAUUGAGGUCCCUAGUAAAUGCAGCUGUCAUCAUUAUUCCUUGUCAUUACAUUUCCUCAUCUAUAAAAGUUGGUUACAAUGCAAACCUCCUGAUCCUUCAUAAAGUUCACUGACAAGUUCAGGCUUUACAACAACAUAAAAUUUCUUUUAUUGUGUAUCUCACCUCAAGGUGUAUCCCAUCUGUUAAGAAAUGGAACCCCCCCAAAAAAAGAAAAAGUAAGAGAUAACGCGUAAUAAACAUUUAUAAAACAAAUGAGGAGUAAUACAUGGAUAUGGGGAAAAUGGAAUAAAUCAAAUAAUUAGGACUGAAAAGUUUAGUUAAAAUGUGGAUUUUGGAGGAAGAAAAAGGCAUGCCUUGCCACAGAGCACAUAAAAUAGGGUCAUAGACUCAUGGAUUGGAAAUUCUGCUCAGGUUUAGAAGAAUUGAUAUUCAGUUCUAACUCUGAUGCUCCCUAACUUUUUAAUUUUUCUCAAGAUUUUUAGAAUUUCUCAUUCUGUAAAAUGGGAAAAAUAAUAACAUUGGCCUUUCUAAGGGCUGAGAGGAUACAAUUAGAUCAUACAUACAAAUAAUUUUUUUUUGCGUUUUGUUUAUGGUAUAAAGGCCAAAGCUAGAACAGGGCAAGUAAGCCACAUAUGGUAUAGCAUUUAAGGAGACACACAAUGAAGGGCUCUGGAGUAUGCCUCUUUUGACUUGCACCCUUGUGUUCUCACUUGCCUUAACCUCAUCCUGGACCUGGGACGAAAAGACAGCAAACAGGUCUCUCCACUGGAGUAACAAUGUUCAUAUAAAUAAAGAGACAUGAGAACAUGUGACAAAUCCAACUAAUAAUGGAUCAUAAAGCACAAGGCAAUGAGUCUGGGGCCAAUGAGACAGUGGAGCUACUGCAGGUUUUGGAGAAGGGGUGUGGCAUGUGUUUUCAUAGUUUGAUCAUAGAAUGCAGCGGUUCAACUGGAUUCUGGAACAUAGGCCAGUUGGAUCUAUGGAAGAGAUGGUUGUGGUGGAGAUUGCCAGGUGUCUCAUGCCAGCCAAAGAAACAUUUGCUAUCUGCCAUCUGUACAAAUUGACUACUAAAAAAGGAAGCAGCAUUUGGAAUAAGCUGGUACUUUCAGCACAGUAACUCUUGAAACACGGAACUUCUUGGAUGUACAUUUUGAGGAAAGUUGAUCUGGAGCCUAUGGAGUGUCAUUGGAGCUGGGUGUUCACAAAGCUAAUGGAAAACAUAUUAAUUUUGUUCUAUGGAGGGUUGGAAAAGAGCUUCUAGGGUCAUGGUGGGUCACAAACCUAGGAAUUCAUUUUGGACUGUAAUGGAAAAGUUUUAUCCGUUACAUCUAAACUUAUCAUUUAAUAAUGGCUGCCAGGAACACUGUCAAAUGAAGGAUUCUGAGCCCUCAGCCAGGCUCCGCAGGUAAGGGCCACCAUUGAUUAGCAAUGUCUGUUACAAGAGCGGCAGAAAUGAGAGGUGGGACGUGUGUCUGAUCUGGUUCAAUUAUUUGAUUUUCCUGUUGUUAAAGCCAAGGCUCUAGGAGGGGAAAAGUUACUCAGAGCAACACAGGUCAAUUAAUAAGUGAAGAAUCAGACUCAAGUUCUCCAACCCACUGUAAUUUGUUCACAAUCCACUUCUCAAUAAACCACAGCACAUUUUUAUCUAUGGCAUUUAUUAAGGAAUGUUUUCCCCUUCUUUCAAAAGCCACAUUCUAACUAAACUUUUUGCUUCUAAUUAUUUCUUUUAUUCCAAAAUUUUUUACAUUCCUGUGUAUCACUCAUUUGUUUUACAAAUAUCUAUUGUGUGUCAUCUCUUACUCGUUACUCAUUUUAAAAUUUUGUAUCUGAGAUUAUCUUUGCUUCACAUUUUAGUCCACAGUGGAAGAUUCUGAUGACAGAGUAAUGCUUUUAUUCAAGAUACUUUAUUCUAGCUGAAACCACAUCUUUUCUGUGCUAGUCUAUCAGAAAUGCAGCAUAAUGGGAGUCUUUGCUGAAUAUGAAGCAGAUUCCUAGAAAACAAGUGGGCAUUGAUUUAUUUUUAUUGAUGUGCUUUUACUAACUGAUAGGAAGUGUUCUUUGAACACCUCUCUUCCUACCAUUCCACUCCAAUAAGCCACUGAGUUUGAUCAUUUCCAACACAUGGUCCAUGCCGCUGUCUAGAGGGUUGAGAGCCUCUCCAGCCACAGUGCUAAGUGGGCCAACAGCCACCCAGGUCUCCUCAAUUCAGAUGUGGCCUUUUCCUGAUGUGGGACUUACAUCCUGACCUGAUAUAACCUUUCAGUUUGGGACUAUGAGCUGGGAUAUGGAUACCUUGGACAACUCUUGGUCUUCAAAAAAAGAGAAAACUAACUAGGAGUAAACCUUCAGAUGAACUAUGCAUAUAUCCAGUGUACAAGAGAAAGUAGGUUUUUGAGGUGGGAAAGAAAGGUUAUAAAAUAAAGGGAGAAAAAUCAACUCUUUUUUCUCUUUGAGUCCAGAUGUUUUUGAUGUCAUUGAGCAUCAGGCAUUGUCUAGAGUCUCCAAAUUUUAUGUCACGUUCUCUGUGGAAAUUGCAGCACACAGGCACACGAUGUUUUGAAGGUGAGUGGGAAAAGGUGCUGGGACAUUGCUGUUGGGAGCAGAGUACCUCCUUUGGGCUAGAAAGAGCCCACUGGGCCUUUUUAGUCUCAAUUUACCAUGUAAAUAUUGGAGAACUGUGAUGUUAAGUUCUAAUAAAACUCUGGGAAAAAGUUGUA